rnacentral:sRNA from 1 species
CCUCCUUCUCCGCCUUCAUCAAAUUUUCCCCCAAACCCUUCACUGCACCACAACCUUCUCCUGCUUGGCUUCGUGUUCGUCUUCUCCUGCUCUCCUUCGUGUUCGUCUUCUCUUGCUUGAUAUGCGAACAUUUGAUGAUUUCUCUGAUGAUGGAGGCGUCUAUGACUCUGCAUAGCAAUCAAUGAAAUACUUCCUACUGCUGGUGUAGGAAAGGGGAGCCAAAAUACCUGCACCAGUGUUGGAGCUGGUUGCACUCUCUGCUCCUCCUCCUCCAUAUCUGUCCGUGGUGUUGCUUGGAAUGUUUGAUUUGCCUCUUUCUGAUACGAGUUACUUUCUUGUUCUCCUAUCUUGCACACUCUGGCUCCAUAAAUUUCUACAAAGCUUUUGGCAACACCUGAAAAGCCAGAACAAAUAUAUGUUCCUCAGAGA